rnacentral:tRNA from 1 species
GAGGGUAUAGCUUAGUGGUAGAGCACAUGCUUAGCAUGCACGAGGUCUUGGGUUCAAUCCCCAGUGCCUCCA